rnacentral:rRNA from 2 species
UCAAGUGAAGAAGCGCAUACGGUGGAUGCCUUGGCAGUCAGAGGCGAUGAAAGACGUGGUAGCCUGCGAAAAGCUUCGGGGAGUCGGCAAACAGACUGUGAUCCGGAGAUGUCUGAAUGGGGGAACCCAGCCAUCAUAAGAUGGUUAUCUUGUACUGAAUACAUAGGUGCAAGAGGCGAACCAGGGGAACUGAAACAUCUAAGUACCCUGAGGAAAAGAAAUCAACCGAGAUUCCCUUAGUAGUGGCGAGCGAACGGGGACCAGCCCUUAAGUUGUAUUGAGAUUAGCGGAACGUUCUGGAAAGGACGGCCAUAGUGGGUGAUAGCCCUGUACGCGAAAAUCCCUUUGCAAUGAAAUCGAGUAGGACGGGGCACGAGAAACCUUGUCUGAAUAUGGGGGGACCAUCCUCCAAGGCUAAAUACUACUGACUGACCGAUAGUGAACCAGUACCGUGAGGGAAAGGCGAAAAGAACCGCGGAGAGCGGAGUGAAAUAGAUCCUGAAACCGUAUGCGUACAAGCAGUGGGAGCCCACUUUGUUGGGUGACUGCGUACCUUUUGUAUAAUGGGUCAGCGACUUAUUUUCAGUGGCGAGCUUAACCGAAUAGGGGAGGCGUAGCGAAAGCGAGUCUUAAUAGGGCGUCUAGUCGCUGGGAAUAGACCCGAAACCGGGCGAUCUAUCCAUGGGCAGGUUGAAGGUUGGGUAACACUAACUGGAGGACCGAACCGACUACCGUUGAAAAGUUAGCGGAUGACCUGUGGAUCGGAGUGAAAGGCUAAUCAAGCUCGGAGAUAGCUGGUUCUCCUCGAAAGCUAUUUAGGUAGCGCCUCAUGUAUCACUGUAGGGGGUAGAGCACUGUUUCGGCUAGGGGGUCAUCCCGACUUACCAAACCGAUGCAAACUCCGAAUACCUACAAGUGCCGAGCAUGGGAGACACACGGCGGGUGCUAACGUCCGUCGUGAAAAGGGAAACAACCCAGACCGUCAGCUAAGGUCCCAAAGUCAUGGUUAAGUGGGAAACGAUGUGGGAAGGCUUAGACAGCUAGGAGGUUGGCUUAGAAGCAGCCACCCUUUAAAGAAAGCGUAAUAGCUCACUAGUCGAGUCGGCCUGCGCGGAAGAUGUAACGGGGCUCAAACCAUGCACCGAAGCUACGGGUAUCAUCUUAGGAUGAUGCGGUAGAGGAGCGUUCUGUAAGCCUGUGAAGGUGAGUUGAGAAGCUUGCUGGAGGUAUCAGAAGUGCGAAUGCUGACAUGAGUAACGACAAUGGGUGUGAAAAACACCCACGCCGAAAGACCAAGGUUUCCUGCGCAACGUUAAUCGACGCAGGGUUAGUCGGUCCCUAAGGCGAGGCUGAAAAGCGUAGUCGAUGGAAAACAGGUUAAUAUUCCUGUACUUCUGGUUAUUGCGAUGGAGGGACGGAGAAGGCUAGGCCAGCCUGGCGUUGGUUGUCCAGGUUUAAGGUGGUAGGCUGAGAUCUUAGGUAAAUCCGGGAUCUUAAGGCCGAGAGCUGAUGACGAGUGUUCUUUUAGAACACGAAGUGGUUGAUGCCAUGCUUCCAAGAAAAGCUUCUAAGCUUCAGGUAACCAGGAACCGUACCCCAAACCGACACAGGUGGUUGGGUAGAGAAUACCAAGGCGCUUGAGAGAACUCGGGUGAAGGAACUAGGCAAAAUGGCACCGUAACUUCGGGAGAAGGUGCGCCGGUGGAGGUGAAGCAUUUACUGCGUAAGCCCCUGCCGGUCGAAGAUACCAGGCCGCUGCGACUGUUUAUUAAAAACACAGCACUCUGCAAACACGAAAGUGGACGUAUAGGGUGUGACGCCUGCCCGGUGCCGGAAGGUUAAUUGAUGGGGUUAGCGCAAGCGAAGCUCUUGAUCGAAGCCCCGGUAAACGGCGGCCGUAACUAUAACGGUCCUAAGGUAGCGAAAUUCCUUGUCGGGUAAGUUCCGACCUGCACGAAUGGCGUAACGAUGGCGGCGCUGUCUCCACCCGAGACUCAGUGAAAUUGAAAUCGCUGUGAAGAUGCAGUGUAUCCGCGGCUAGACGGAAAGACCCCGUGAACCUUUACUAUAGCUUUGCACUGGACUUUGAAUUUGCUUGUGUAGGAUAGGUGGGAGGCUUUGAAGCGUGGACGCCAGUCUGCGUGGAGCCAACCUUGAAAUACCACCCUGGCAACUUUGAGGUUCUAACUCAGGUCCGUUAUCCGGAUCGAGGACAGUGUAUGGUGGGUAGUUUGACUGGGGCGGUCUCCUCCUAAAGAGUAACGGAGGAGUACGAAGGUGCGCUCAGACCGGUCGGAAAUCGGUCGUAGAGUAUAAAGGCAAAAGCGCGCUUGACUGCGAGACAGACACGUCGAGCAGGUACGAAAGUAGGUCUUAGUGAUCCGGUGGUUCUGUAUGGAAGGGCCAUCGCUCAACGGAUAAAAGGUACUCCGGGGAUAACAGGCUGAUACCGCCCAAGAGUUCAUAUCGACGGCGGUGUUUGGCACCUCGAUGUCGGCUCAUCACAUCCUGGGGCUGAAGCCGGUCCCAAGGGUAUGGCUGUUCGCCAUUUAAAGUGGUACGCGAGCUGGGUUUAGAACGUCGUGAGACAGUUCGGUCCCUAUCUGCCGUGGACGUUUGAGAUUUGAGAGGGGCUGCUCCUAGUACGAGAGGACCGGAGUGGACGAACCUCUGGUGUUCCGGUUGUCACGCCAGUGGCAUUGCCGGGUAGCUAUGUUCGGAAAAGAUAACCGCUGAAAGCAUCUAAGCGGGAAACUUGCCUCAAGAUGAGAUCUCACUGGAACCUUGAGUUCCCUAAAGGGCCGUCGAAGACUACGACGUUGAUAGGUUGGGUGUGUAAGCGCUGUGAGGCGUUGAGCUAACCAAUACUAAUUGCCCGUGAGGCUUGACCAU